rnacentral:lncRNA from 1 species
GGACUUAUAAUUGCUAUAGAUAAUUGUUAGCAUGAUUUAUGUUUAUAAGUAUGUAAUACCUAUGAACUGCAUUAUUUGCUUUGUAAAUGAUGAAUGUCAAAUUAUGACUAAUUAUUGAAUUGAGUCGGGGAACUCAAUAUAUAUGUGCAAUGAAUGACAUGUACAUGACAUGUGUAGUAUGAUAUGAUAUGUAUGUUGCUACCAGCAGGACAUAAAUGUGAUAAUGCAUUUGUAAUA